AAUGAACGCUGGCGGUGUGCCUAACACAUGCAAGUCGAGCGACCAGACGAUAAGCUUUCUCUCCUGCCGUUAGCGGCUGACGGGUGAGUAACACGUGGAUCGCCUUCUUCUAUUACUUGGUUAACUUCGGAAAACCGCUGCUACUACUAGCUCAUAUAUCGUACCGCUUGGUUCAAUAGUUAUUGACGGUUUUCCUGUUUCUUUUAGAUGGAUCCGCGUCGCAUUAGCUAGUUGGUAAGGUAACGGCUUACCAAGGCAACGAUGCGUAGCUGACCUGAGAGGGUGAUCAGCCACACUGGAACUGAGACACGGUCCAGACUCCUACGGGAGGCAGCAGUAGGGAAUCUUGCGCAAUGGGCGAAAGCUUGACGGAGCAACGCCGCGUGAGUGAUGAAGGUCUUCGGAUCGUAAAGCUCUGUUAUUAGGGAAGAAAAAAUGUGGAAGAAACUAUGCACGUCUUGACGGUACCUAAUCAGAAAGCCACGGCUAACUACGUG
rnacentral:rRNA from 1 species